rnacentral:tRNA from 1 species
GCCCCUUUAACUCAGUGGUAGAGUAACGCCGUGGUAAGGCGUAAGUCAUCGGUUCAAAGGGGCUUUUUUUUU